CUAACGGCAGCCGGCUAAAGAAGCAGCAGAGACGCGAAGUUAGAAUACUUUUUUAGUUUUCAAAGUGAAUUUCGGAUCUUUUCUAGUCAAAACAGUGUUGCAGAUUGUUGAAACAGUAGCGACCUUAACCAGAGAAGUUUUGCCUGUUGUACAGGCCAGGUUUUUAUUCCACCCGGGAGAGUUUCCCGACCAUCGAGGGAUAACGAAGUUUCAUUAUUUCGUGUGCACGUGUGAGGAGACGCGCGUGCACGAGGACAUCGGACGGCGAGCUUUGCCCAAGGAUUUCGCGCUUUAAGAGGGUGAGACAACGUCACAACCGGCUCGAAGGGACACGGUUUGAACUUUAUUUUUCCUACUGGAAGACUAUCUUACUUUUAUGGUGGUGGGAUUGUGCAAUUACCUCAUUCAUUGAUUAAAUGAAUGAGGACUGAACGGAACAUUGAACUGAAUCAUAUAUGGACAUCCUACGUGAUGUACUUUUCAUUAUUGAAUUCUUGUGCCAUGUUGUUUAUAUGGUUUGAGUUUAUUUAGUUUAUUUUCAGCUGCAUUCUGAAAGAACACUUAUUUAAAAGGUCAGUAAUUCAAGAAAGGCGCUAUAGUAAGAGUUGCAGACUCUUUCAGAUUGAGUUACUGAAGGGAAGAAGGUAAAUAGUUUAGUGAAUCUAAUUAUCAAUCCAAGAGUAAGUGUACAGACCGGUCUUAGGAAAAAAAGAAACAUCUAGUUGACAAAACUAAUUAAAACUAGGAUAGUAAUUACCAAAACCUGUCCUAGAUCUAAAAAGGGAAAGGGAAGAGGGGAAGUUGUCAUUUUGCUACUAUUGUGUGUAUGUGUAAUUGUGUGUGAUUGUAUGUGUAAAUUUCAGUAAAAUUGCCGGCUAUAAA